rnacentral:rRNA from 1 species
AACGAACGCUGGCGGCAUGCCUAACACAUGCAAGUCGAACGAGACCUUCGGGUCUAGUGGCGCACGGGUGCGUAACGCGUGGGAACCUGCCCUUAGGUUCGGAAUAACUCCCGAAAGGGGUGCUAAUACCGGAUAAUGUCUUCGGACCAAAGAUUUAUCGCCUUUGGAUGGGCCCCGCGUUGGAUUAGCUAGUUGGUGGGGUAAAGGCCUACCAAGGCGACGAUCCAUAGCUGGUCUUAGAGGAUGAUCAGCCACACUGGGACUGAGACACGGCCCAGACUCCUACGGGAGGCAGCAGUGGGGAAUAUUGGACAAUGGGCGAAAGCCUGAUCCAGCAAUGCCGCGUGAGUGAUGAAGGCCUUAGGGUUGUAAAGCUCUUUUACCCGGGAUGAUAAUGACAGUACCGGGAGAAUAAGCUCCGGCUAACUCCGUGCCAGCAGCCGCGGUAAUACGGAGGGAGCUAGCGUUGUUCGGAAAUACUGGGCGUAAAGCGCACGUAGGCGGCGCAGCAAGUCAGGGGUGAAAUCCCGGGCUCAACCCCGGAACUGCCUCUGAAACUGCAGUGCUAGAAUCUUGGAGAGGCGAGUGGAAUUCCGAGUGUAGAGGUGAAAUUCGUAGAUAUUCGGAAGAACACCAGUGGCGAAGGCGAC